CAUGAAUUCUUCAGAAUGAAGUCUUUCUUCUGAGUGGGGGUUGAAGCUCAUCCUUGCGACUUAAUAGGAUAGAGCUUCAGAGAAAAAGCAUUCAACUUAGAGGUAUCUCAUGGUUAUGCCUAAGUUCAUCCAGAGUGACAGCAUGCUUUUUUGGCGCUCGCCCAUCAAGGGAGGCAGGUUGUCCAUUGGCUCUUCAUCCACCUGCUCCUCAGUGCUGAUGUUGACUUUGAUGGAAGUCAAUAUGCAAUAUGCAAGUUGUCAAGCAGCAACCUUGUUUUCUGGUAAAACUCUUAUGUCCCUUUAUGCUCUGUCUAUGUAAAAUACCCCCUAGAAAAUUUAACAAAUCAAAAUA
rnacentral:sRNA from 1 species